GAACAGUCACCUUUGGAACCACUACCAAGGACAACAAAUCAUCUAGAGGGAUGCCACAGCAAGCUGAAGAAACAUGUCACGCAUGCACAUCCAAACAUCUUUGAACUAAUUAAACUUCUGAAACAUGAGAAAGCCUUCAACUCCCUGACCAUGAUUCAGCAUGCAGCCGGUGGGAAGAGAGUGGCCCCCAAAAAGAAGUAUGUAGAAAUCAACAACAGAUAACAAACUUAAGUUUAGACACCGCAACCAGGAAGUCACAACAGUAGAGUUUGGUGAUGAAGCCUCCCACCUUCUUCACGUGGAAUAGAUAGAUAAACUAACUUUAAUAGACUAGUAUACAGUGAUUGUCUAAUGUUUGUGCUUCAAUGUGUGAUUUGAUUUAGUGCUGUUGUAAAAUUUGUGUUAUAUUAUUCUUGCUUGAAUCUACAGUUGAAUUUGUGUUAUAAAAGUAAUAAAAAUAAUUUACUUAUAUUUGUUU
rnacentral:lncRNA from 1 species